GAUGAACGCUGGCGGCGUGCCUAAUACAUGCAAGUCGAGCGAACAGACGAGGAGCUUGCUCCUCUGACGUUAGCGGCGGACGGGUGAGUAACACGUGGAUAACCUACCUAUAAGACUGGGAUAACUUCGGGAAACCGGAGCUAAUACCGGAUAAUAUAUUGAACCGCAUGGUUCAAUAGUGAAAGACGGUUUUGCUGUCACUUAUAGCUGGAUCCGCGCCGCAUUAGCUAGUUGGUAAGGUAACGGCUUACCAAGGCAACGAUGCGUAGCCGACCUGAGAGGGUGAUCGGCCACACUGGAACUGAACCACGGUCCAGACUCCUACGGGAGGCAGCAGUAGGGAAUCUUCCGCAAUGGGCGAAAGCCUGACGGAGCAACGCCGCGUGAGUGAUGAAGGUCUUCGGAUCGUAAAACUCUGUUAUUAGGGAAGAACAAAUGUGUAAGUAACUAUGCACGUCUUGACGGUACCUAAUCAGAAAGCCACGGCUAACUACGUG
rnacentral:rRNA from 1 species